UCUUUUUUUCUUUCCCGACCUUUCUCUCUUUUCUCUUUCGAUGUUAACGACGAUGGAUUCGCCGAUUCACCUCAACUCCGGAAAAAUCGUCGGCCGAUGUUGCUUCUAAUGGCCUAAAGUGGACGGCGAGGUCCACCGGCGGAUGUUGCUCGUGUUACUGUGCUAUGUUGGAGGUAACUUUGUUAUGUGGUUUUCCUAAUCUGUGAUUGUCUCGAUGGCACCGAUGAGCCUGGUGCAGAAAAGGCUUAGCCAAGUGGAAAUGAAGAACAAGGAGGCGACGUAUCAUGCAUCGUUGGGUUACUACAAAUCUCAGAAGAUGAUUGCAAGAGACACUACCAGACUGGUGGAGCCUUUUCGGCGUAUCAGGCGUUCUUUCUCAUUCAUUCUUAUUCCUAUUUUCUCACACCUUCUUUGUCAUUCAUUCUUAUUCCUAUUUUCCUGCAUCUCUUGAUUCUUCAGUAUCUGGUCUAUUAAUGUUUGUUUUGCUUGUUUUUGAUUCAGAUUCUGCCAAAAACAAUAGAUCAUUACAAAACAUUUAACUUUUUUCUU